rnacentral:rRNA from 14 species
CGUAAUGAUUAAUAGGGAUAGUUGGGGGCAUUGGUAUUGAGUCGCUAGAGGUGAAAUUCUUAGAUUGACUCAAGACCAACUAUUGCGAAAGCAUUUGCCAAGGAUGUUUUCAUUAAUCAAGAACGAAGGUUAGGGGAUCGAAAACGAUCAGAUACCGUUGUAGUCUUAACAGUAAACUAUGCCGACUAGGGAUCGGACGACCUCUUUUU